GAUUUCCCCAAGAGAUAAUUUUGGAUAGGGGGACCCAAUUUACAGCCGAAGUGACCCACCAGCUAUGGAAGUUAUGUGGCAUUAAGCCAAUUGUAAAUUCUGCCUAUCACCAGCAGUCCAAUGGGUUGUGUGAGCGCUUUAACGGUACCUUGAAGCAGAUGAUCAGGACAUUUGGGGAGUCCCAUAAAGACUGGGAGAGGUUUUUACCCCAUCUGCUUUUUGCGUACCGAGAAGUGCCACAGGAAUCUACCGGCUUCUCUCCGUUUGAGUUAUUGUUUGGGAGAAGGGUGAGGGGACCCCUAGACUUAAUUAGAGAACAUUGGGAGGGGGGGAGCAGUGCAGAUGGAGUCCCCAUUGUGCCAUACGUGCUGGAGUUCCGG